GUGGCGGACGGGUGGAGUAACGCGUGGGCGAACCUGCCUUAACCGGGGACGAACAGUUGGAACGGACUGCUAAUACCGCAUAAGCGCACGGAACCGCAUGGUUCAGUGUGAAAAAUUCCGGUGGUUAAGGAUGGGCCCCGCGUUGGAUUAGGUAGUUGGUGCGGUAACGGCGCACCAAGCCGACGAUCCAUAGCCGACCUGAGAGGGUGACCGGCCACAUUGGGACUGAGACACGGCCCAGACUCCUGCGGGAGGCAGCAGUGGGGAAUAUUGCACAAUGGGGGAAACCCUGAUGCCAGCGACGCCGCGUGAGUGAAGAAGUAUUUCGGUAUGUAAAGCUCUUUCGGCAGGGAAGAAGAUGACGGUACCUGCAGAAGAAGCCCCGGCUAACUACGUGCCAGCCGCCGC
rnacentral:rRNA from 1 species